rnacentral:rRNA from 1 species
GAUGAACGCUAGCUACAGGCUUAACACAUGCAAGUCGAGGGGCAGCAUUUCAGUUUGCUUGCAAACUGGAGAUGGCGACCGGCGCACGGGUGAGUAACACGUAUCCAACCUGCCGAUAACUCGGGGAUAGCCUUUCGAAAGAAAGAUUAAUACCCGAUGGUAUAAUCAGACCGCAUGGUCUUGUUAUUAAAGAAUUUCGGUUAUCGAUGGGGAUGCGUUCCAUUAGGCAGUUGGUGAGGUAACGGCUCACCAAGCCUUCGAUGGAUAGGGGUUCUGAGAGGAAGGUCCCCCACAUUGGAACUGAGACACGGUCCAAACUCCUACGGGAGGCAGCAGUGAGGAAUAUUGGUCAAUGGGCGCAGGCCUGAACCAGCCAAGUAGCGUGAAGGAUGACUGCCCUAUGGGUUGUAAACUUCUUUUAUAUGGGAAUAAAGUUUUCCACGUGUGGAAUUUUGUAUGUACCAUAUGAAUAAGGAUCGGCUAACUCCGUGCCAGCAGCCGCGGUAAUACGGAGGAUCCGAGCGUUAUCCGGAUUUAUUGGGUUUAAAGGGAGCGUAGGUGGACAGUUAAGUCAGUUGUGAAAGUUUGCGGCUCAACCGUAAAAUUGCAGUUGAUACUGGCUGUCUUGAGUACAGUAGAGGUGGGCGGAAUUCGUGGUGUAGCGGUGAAAUGCUUAGAAAUCACGAAGAACUCCGAUUGCGAAGGCAGCUCACUGGACUGCAACUGACACUGAUGCUCGAAAGUGUGGGUAUCAAACAGGAUUAGAUACCCUGGUAGUCCACACAGUAAACGAUGAAUACUCGCUGUUUGCGAUAUACAGUAAGCGGCCAAGCGAAAGCAUUAAGUAUUCCACCUGGGGAGUACGCCGGCAACGGUGAAACUCAAAGGAAUUGACGGGGGCCCGCACAAGCGGAGGAACAUGUGGUUUAAUUCGAUGAUACGCGAGGAACCUUACCCGGGCUUAAAUUGCAUUUGAAUAUAUUGGAAACAGUAUAGCCGUAAGGCAAAUGUGAAGGUGCUGCAUGGUUGUCGUCAGCUCGUGCCGUGAGGUGUCGGCUUAAGUGCCAUAACGAGCGCAACCCUUAUCUUUAGUUACUAACAGGUCAUGCUGAGGACUCUAGAGAGACUGCCGUCGUAAGAUGUGAGGAAGGUGGGGAUGACGUCAAAUCAGCACGGCCCUUACGUCCGGGGCUACACACGUGUUACAAUGGGGGGUACAGAAGGCAGCUACCUGGUGACAGGAUGCUAAUCCCAAAAGCCUCUCUCAGUUCGGAUCGAAGUCUGCAACCCGACUUCGUGAAGCUGGAUUCGCUAGUAAUCGCGCAUCAGCCAUGGCGCGGUGAAUACGUUCCCGGGCCU